GCGAGGCUUCCCUGGGCCUGGGUUUUCUCAGGUAGAAGGAGAGCAUGGUCGUACCUCUGCUGCCCAGCCUCUCGGGGAGCAGGCUUUCUUCCCGAGCGAUGCAGCAGGAGAGCAAGGAGGAAAGGAGGUGACAAGGCAGAGCAGAAGAGGAGAAACUGGGUGGGGAAGCCAGAGUCCAGGCGAUGGACUGGCCUGGGAUUUGUAACUGGACGGAGGCUGAGAUGCUGAUGCAGAUCUGAAAAAAAAUUGUUAAUGCAUCUAAAGAUACAGAAAACAAGUAUUUCUGAAUGGAAAGACCCAUGAUAUUGAAAAUUUUGAAAAAGAAGAGAAUUAGGAGAGGUUCCUUUAUGAAAAGGAAUUAAUUCCAAGAAGUAAAUGGACAAAUGUGAAGAAAUGCCUGUUGAAGGAUUUUUUUGGGAUAGUGAAAAAUAGAAAACCACUCAAACGUCUAUUCAGUAGAUUAUUUCAAAUGUGUGUGUCUAUUUGUGUGUACGUAGUAUACGCAUAAGUUAUGGAAUGCCAUGAGUCUACUUUAAAAUAUGGCCGGGUGCAAGAUGGCUCACACCUGUAAUCCCAGCACUUUGGGAGGCCAAGGCAGGUGGAUCACCUGGGGUCAGGAGUUCGAGACUGGCCUGGCCAACAUGGCGAAAACCUGUCUCUACUAAAAAUACAAAAAUUCGCGGGACGUGGUGGCGCACAUCUGUAAUCCCAGCUACUCAGGAGCCUGAGGCACGGGAAUCGCUUGAACUCGGGAGGCGGAGGUUGCAGUGAGCCAAAAUGGCGCCACUGCGCUCCAGCCUGGGCGACAGAGCGAGGUUCUGCCUAAAUAAAUAAAUAAAAUGAUGAAACAGAUUUAAACUUAAUGGAAUGGAAGGAUAGCCACAUAAUCUUUAAAGUGAAAAAAAAAUCAGGUUCUAAAUCUAUAGGUAUUCUUUGAUUACAUUUUUUUCAAUGUGUAGAGGCAUAGAAAAGUCCAGAAGGAUCUAUAAUGAGCUGUUUAAUUUUCAUUUCCUAUGGGGUAGAUCCUUUGUUGCAUGGAAGAUUAUUUCACUCUGUUAGCUCUCUUUACAUCAGUAGGAAUACAUCCUCAUGGUUUUAAACAUCUUGAGGGAGCUUUCCUGACACUCUACUCUAGGUAAAUAUGCUCGCAUAGCACUCUCUAUUCACCAUAUUACCUAUAAAUCAUAUUGCACUUUUUAACUUUUCUAAACUACUUUUUGCUUUCUUUUCUAGAUUAUAAAAUCUUGAGGGCAGGGAUAGUAUGUAAAGGUUCCCUUGUGAGCAAAUAACCGUCACUUAUUGAACUCUGUGUGCCAAAUACU
rnacentral:lncRNA from 1 species